AGAGUUUGAUCCUGGCUCAGAACGAACGCUGGCGGCGUGGAUAAGACAUGCAAGUCGAGCGGGAUUUCUUUGUGUAGCAAUACAGAGAGAAGUCCAGCGGCGAACGGGUGCGUAACACGUGGGCAAUCUGCCUUAAAGUGAGGGAUAGCUCGGCGAAAGCCGAAUUAAUACCGCAUGUGAUCAGGGAAGACAUCUUUCCGAAAUCAAAGGUGGCGCAAGCUACCGCUUUUUGAGGGGCCCGCGGCCUAUCAGCUUGUUGGUGAGGUAACGGCUCACCAAGGCUAUGACGGGUAGCUGGUCUGAGAGGACGACCAGUCACACUGGGACUGAGACACGGCCCAGACACCUACGGGUGGCAGCAGUCGAGAAUUUUUGACAAUGGGGGAAACCCUGAUCGAGCGACGCCGCGUGGAGGAUGAAGGUCUUCGGGUUGUAAACUCCUGUCAUUUGGGAACAAGGCGCACGUAUUAACUGUACGUGCGUUGAUAGUACCAGAAGAGGAAGAGACGGCUAACUCUGUGCCAGCAGCCGCGGUAAUACAGAGGUCUCAAGCGUUGUUCGGAUUCAUUGGGCGUAAAGGGUGUGUAGGUGGCGCCGUAAGUCGGGUGUGAAAUUUCGGAGCUUAACUCCGAAACUGCAUUCGAUACUGCGGUGCUUGAGGACUGGAGAGGAGACUGGAAUUUACGGUGUAGCAGUGAAAUGCGUAGAUAUCGUAAGGAAGACCAGUGGCGAAGGCGGGUCUCUGGACAGUUCCUGACACUGAGACACGAAGGCCAGGGGAGCAAACGGGAUUAGAUACCCCGGUAGUCCUGGCAGUAAACGGUGCACGUUUGGUGUGGGAGGAUUCGACCCCUUCUGCGCCGGAGCCAACGCGUUAAACGUGCCGCCUGAGA
rnacentral:rRNA from 1 species